rnacentral:tRNA from 1 species
CGCAGGAUAGAGCAGUUGGUAGCUCGGUGGGUUCAUACCCCACAGGUCGUAGGUUCGAAUCCUUCUCCUGCUA